rnacentral:rRNA from 1 species
CUCGUAGGUGGUUUGUCGCGUCGUCUGUGAAAUUCCGGGGCUUAACUCCGGGCGUGCAGGCGAUACGGGCAUAACUUGAGUACUGUAGGGGUAACUGGAAUUCCUGGUGUAGCGGUGAAAUGCGCAGAUAUCAGGAGGAACACCGAUGGCGAAGGCAGGUUACUGGGCAGUUACUGACGCUGAGGAGCGAAAGCAGUGGGUAGCGGAACA